rnacentral:snRNA from 1 species
AAGGAAAAACAGUGAGAAC